AUGAAUGGAAGGCUUGAUUCUCCAUUGCACAUGGCCGCAUAUGUGUUGAACCCACACUAUAGUUAUGCGGAUAGCUCUAUCUUUACCAUAGCAAAUGAAGGCUUCCAGGAGUGUGCUGAACAAUACUUUGCAAAUGAUCCUGAUAAUUGCAUGUUGGCUGUCAAUUAUGCAUUUCUGAAAUAUGAAAACAAAGAAGGACCAUUUGGGAAGAAGCUAGGAACAGCUUGUGAAAAUAAGAGCUGCAGCCCAGGUAUUUCAGUAUUUGCUUGCUCCUGCUGCCCUUGCAUUGCUGCUGUUAGCUGCUGUUACUGCUCUAGCUGCUGCUCUUCCUCCUGUUGUAGCUGCUGCUGCUGCUUGCUUGCUGCUGCUAUAGCUGCUGCUGCUGCUGCUGCUGUAUAUGCUUGUCGCUGCUGCUGUAUAUGCUGCUGCUAUAGCUGCUGCUGCUCAGCUGCUGUAUAUGCUGCUGCUGCUAAAUGCUGCUGA
rnacentral:rRNA from 1 species